rnacentral:rRNA from 1 species
GAUGAACGCUGGCGGCGUGCCUAAUACAUACAAGUCGAGCGAACAGAAAAGAACAUUGCUACUCUGACGUUAGCGGCGGACGGGUGAGUAACACGUGGAUAACCUACCUAUAAGACUGGGAUAACUUCGGGAAACCGGAGCUAAUACCGGAUAAUAUAUUGAACCGCAUGGUUCAAUAGUGAAAGACGGUUUUGCUGUCACUUAUAGAUGGAUCCGCGCCGCAUUAGCUAGUUGGUAAGGUAACGGCUUACCAAGGCAACGAUGCGUAGCCGACCUGAGAGGGUGAUCGGCCACACUGGAACUGAGACACGGUCCAGACUCCUACGGGAGGCAGCAGUAGGGAAUCUUCCGCAAUGGGCGAAAGCUUGACGGAGCAACGCCGCGUGAGUGAUGAAGGUCUUCGGAUCGUAAAACUCUGUUAUUAGGGAAGAACAAAUGUGUAAGUAACUAUGCACGUCUUGACGGUACCUAAUCAGAAAGCCACGGCUAACUACGUG